rnacentral:rRNA from 1 species
UUCGCAAUGCCCGAAAGGGUGACGAAGCGACGCCGCGUGAGCGAAGAAGGCCUUAGGGUUGUAAAGCUCUGUCAGGGGUUAUGAAAUGUAAAUGGGCUAAUACUUCAUUUAUUUGACAAAGGCCCCAAAGGAAGCCACGGCUAACUCUGUGCCAGCAGCCGCGGUAAUACAGAGGUGGCAAGCGUUGUUCGGUAUUAUUGGGCGUAAAGAGCACGUAGGUUGUUUUGUAAGUCAGGUGUGAAAGCCUUCUGUUCAAAGGAAGAACGGCAUCUGAAACUGCAGAUCUUGAGUAUAGGAGGGGAGAGUGGAACUUCUGGUGGAGCGGUGAAAUGCGUAGAUAUCAGAAGGAACGUCGGCGGCGAAAGCGACUCUCUGGCCUAUUACUGACACUGAGGUGCGAAAGUUAGGGGAGCAAACGGGAUUAGAUACCCCGGUAGUCCUAACCGUAAACGAUGGGCACUAAGUAGAGGGGUUUU